AGUGUUGUGGUUAACAGCAAUGAUUCCGAAAGCCAGGCCUCCGCCUUGCAAUCAAACAGGACAGGCUUGUAAUUCUACAACGGGACCACAAUACAUGCUCUUGGUUUUCUCGUUUCUGCUCUUGUCAAUUGGUGCUGGAGGUAUAAGACCAUGUUCUUUAGCCUUUGGUGCAAACCAGUUUGACAAGGGAGGUAGCGAUCCCAACAAACAGACAGUGUUGGAGAGCUUCUUUGCCUGGUAUUAUACUUCAUCUGUAGUCUCUGUUCUGAUUGCCCUAACGGGUAUCGUUUACCUUCAAGACAGACUUGGGUGGAAAAUAGGUUUUGGAGUUCCUGCAAUUCUCAUGUUCUUAUCCGCGUUGUUUUUCUUCCUUGCUUCUCCGUUUUAUAUCAAGCCAAAGGUUCGCUCAAAUGUGUUUGCCAGCUUUAUACGAGUAAUUGUGGUUGCCUUCAAGAAUAGGAAACUACAUUACCCCAAUCAGAACUCUGAUUAUCAUCACAAGAAUGGUUCAGGACCUCAAGUGCCAACGGAGAAAUUGAGAUUCUUAAACAAAGCUUGCAUCAUUAAAAGCCCUGAAGAUGUUAAUCCAAACGGAGUUGCAGCCAAUCCAUGGAACCUUUGCACAGUGGAGCAAGUUGAGGAGCUAAAAGCCCUCGUUAGAAUCGUGCCAUUGUGGUCAACAGGGAUCAUGAUAUCAAUAAACUUGAGCCAAAGUUCAUUCCCACUACUACAAGCUCAAUCCAUGAAUAGACAUCUAACUAAAGGAUUCCAAAUUCCAGCAGGGUCAUUCGGGAUGUUUUUGAUGAUUGCAUUAACAAUUUGGGUAUUACUGUAUGACCGCGUGAUGCUUCCAUUGGCAUCAAAGAUCAAAGGAAGACCAGUUCGUCUAAAACCUAUAGUCAGAAUGGGACUUGGUAUAUUCGUGUCUUGCAUGUCCAUGGUAGUCUCUGGUAUUAUCGAAAAUAUUCGACGAAGAAGAGCAAUCAGUGAAGGGCUGUUGAACAACUCGCAGGGGUUGGUGGAGAUGUCAGCAAUGUGGCUCAUUAUACCAAACAGUUUAAACGGUAUAGCAGAGGCGUUGAACGCGAUUGGCGCCACAGAGUUCUAUUAUUCAGAGCUCCCAAAGAGUAUGUCAAGUAUUGCAUCAGCUCUUUUAGGACUGGGAAUGGCAGUUGCAAAUCUUUUAGCAAGUGUUGUUUUGAGUGCUGUGGAUAAGUACACGAAAGGAGAAGGGAAAGAAAGUUGGAUUUCAAGCAAUAUCAACAGGGGACACUAUGAGUAUUACUACUGGCUUCUUGCUCUAAUGACAGGUUUUAAUCUGCUUUAUUUUGUGGUUUGUUGCUGGCAAUAUGGACCUUCUGUUGAUGUUGACAUCACUAUGAGAAUGAUGGAACCUAGCGACGAUGAAGAUGACGAUGACGAUGAAGAUAAAGAUGAUUUGCCUAAGAAGAAUAAAUCUACACCUGACUUGAAUUCCUGCUAGGCUAUUCUCUUAUUACAUUGUUGAUACAUAGUACUAGUAUUUAUACAGAAUUGCUAUUACAUUUUUAGCUACUACUAGUAUAGUAUAUUAUAUAGUCCACUUUCCCUAAUUCGUUCUUUUCAGCCACCAAAAUAUUCAGCAUGAUUUGAGCAGUAUGCUUAUUUAAUUUAUUUAUCUGAAGAAUCAAAAUAUAAAAAAACUAAUUCAUACUGAUUUAUGAUCAAAUAAUUGAUAAAUUGAUAAUUGAUAAAUUGCGUAACUAUCAAUGGAUAACCAUUUAUGUUGAAUUGUUAAAAAGUCGCUUAACCAAAUUACCUCAUUAUUCGUGAAGAGAUGAAUCUCAAAUAGGCAUUUUGUUAUUUUCCCCAAUUCUGGAGAGAUGCACUUGCAGGCAAUAGUUUUAUGCUUUAUUUUAUCACACUACCAAAUAAUAUGACAAAAGUAUAAUUAGUUUUAAUAUACUAGUCAUUAUCUUUUGAGAACAGAGGUUAAAAAAAAACAGAUCAUUGGAAGUACUAGAGGGCUGGGGUGGGUGGUGGAGUUGGGUUAUUGGGUAGUGGAUGGGGUAGAGUAGAGUAAGAAAAAAAAAUGUUUUUUUUUUAUUCUUUAAUUUUGAAAUUUUAGCAUAUACUUAUUUAAUUUUUUAAAUAUAUAUACUCUUGAGUAAAUUAAAUAAUUAUAUUUAUACCAUUUUGUAUAUAAAGUCCUUGACUUAGAGUUUAGUCUCCUACUUUUAUUUAUGGCUAUCUCAAAAUCUUGGUUAUUCUACAUUGUAAAAGUGUUUGCUUUUGAGCAAAGAUGCAACUUGUGAACUCAUGUACAUGAUUCAUUCGAUUUGUUACCUUGUUUCUAAGUGAUUUUCAUUAAUUUAUUUUUCUAUCAAAUCUUAACGGUUAAACCAAUAAUCAAAUCGAUAAUGAUCAAUAACCGAUAAACCAAUAACUGAUAAGUCAAUAUUUUAAUGGUUCUAUAACGGUUUAACAUCUCUACAAACCGAUAACCAAUAAGUCAAACCAAUAUACUUCAAAACCAAAUCGAAUCGACCGAUACACAACGAAUGACACUCUAAACCCAUCAAUAUUUGUUUUAUUGACAUUUUAAUUUGUUCCAAUAAACUCUUGGAUUCAUUUUGGACCCUUUUAUUAAAAAUAAAAAAAAUAAAAAAUCUUUUUAUUAUAAGUUGAGACCUUGUGAGAAGGAGAUAGUGGGACCAGCAGCAAGGAAAAUAAAUUAGUACUUGUCUUAAAAAUUGUAAAAGAGAAAUAACUACAAUUAAGGAUAAUAAUAAAUUAGGAACUAUAUAUUAAAUUAUUUAUUAAUUUUAUAAAGUAAAGGAAGGGCUUAGAAGAGCCAAGAAUCUCAAGAAAAAUAAAGAAGACCUCUUUUCUUUGUCUUGAUUUUGUUCGAAAGGACCCUCUUAUUCUCAUGACCUGAUCUGGUCAGUACCCAGCCGGGCCUCUUUUGUUCCAAUGAAUUUGAAAACAAAAAUGUCUGUUAUAGGUAAAUGUGAAAUACUUAUACAAAUAAAAAUGCGGGAGAGAUAAAAAAGAUGCAGGGUCGUUUGUCUGCUUGGCUAGUCAAGCAUGGGCUAAUUCAUAGAUCUUUGGGCUUUGAUUACCAAGGAAUAGAGACUUUACAAAUAAAGCCCGAGGAUUGGCAUUCCAUUGCUGUCAUUUUUUAUGUAUAUGGGUACAACUAUCUACGCUCUCAAUGUGCCUAUGAUGUAGCGCCUGGCGGGCUGUUAGCUAGUGUGUAUCAUCUUACGAGAAUAGAGGAUGAUGUGGAUCAACCAGAAGAGCUAUGCAUAAAAGUAUUUGCCUUCCGGUUUAGGUGGACAACCUGGCAAAUAUACAUCUACAGGAAUUAGCUUAUCGACUCCCCGAACAGUACUAUAAGAAUCGGUACUGAACAUCCCGCCUGUAAUUGUACAGGCUCCCAUAGCAAUAACAUAUUUUGGUUCGGGCAUUUGCUCAUAUAAUCUCACAAAAGAGGGGGCCAUUUUCAUUGUUACUGUUCCGGCUGUUAAAAUUAGAUCCGAUUGUGUAGGACUCGAUCUUGGUACGAGUCCAUAACGAUCAAAGUCGAAGCGUGAGUCUUUGGCUAGCUUUUUACUUAUGAGGCGCUUAGGCUUAAGAGCGAGUGCAAAUACUCGACGCCGUGAAUCAAGAAAUUCGGGUGAUAUACAUACGAAGGCGUUGGUCCAUCGGUGCCUUAGGGGAUUGAGUGCUGUUUGAACUAUUGAUUUACGUAAUUGGAAAUAACCAAUUAGGUUUACGGCGAAACCUAGAAAUCGAUCACUGAUCCAAUUUGAGUACCUCUGCAGGAUAUACCUCAACAGAAAACUUAACGUGGAUAAGUAUUAUUAAACAUAUCAAAAUAGUAUAAUAGACAACUAUUAUUAAACGGUGAGAUGUCUUUUUAUUAUAAGCUGAGUAGAUAGUGGGACCAGCAGCAAGAAAAAGAAAUGCAACCUUCCACAUUGAAUGCAAGUACAGCUACACAUUCCUUAAUUAAAUGUACCGAGUUGAAAUUUUAGAUAUAAAAAAUUAUUUAAUAAGGAACGCUUUCUUAAAAGAGAAAAAAAAACUUUCAAACAAAAUCACUUUUUAGGUCAACUGUUUAGACUACUAUUUAUUACUUUUUUUUUUCUUUUUAUUAUGGCCACGCGGGGUUGAAAAAAGGUCCUAAAUAGUUUGCUUUCAAUUAUAAUAAAUACUCUACAACUCUACUGAAAAUUAUAGAAUAAUAAUUAUAGGGAAAAAAAAAUUUGGUCAGAAAAUUUGAUCAAAAUUGGUAAAAUAAAUAUGUUAUUUUAUCUUUUUGAACAUUUUAACCUUUUCAACUUUAAUAUCUUUUAAUUAAAAAUUGACAAAAAGAUCAGUUUAUUUUUAAAUAAAAAAGAUAUUAUAAAUUUUUUAAAUUUCUGGCCAUUUAGCAUUACCCAUAAUUAGAACAACUUUAAAUAUUAAUUGAGAAUUUGAUUAACUCUUGAAAUUUCACCCAUGACAUUUGAGUCAGUAUAGAUGAAUAACACAUCAUUGAAAUUUAAAAUUUAUGUAAAAUGCACUAUAAAUCAUAAUAAUUAAUUUAAGAUAUUUUUAAAAAUAUAUUAGAACUUUAGUUGAUUCUCAAAUUUUUACUUGUGUCAUCAUAAAUUGAGACAGAAAGAAUAACAUAUAUUAUUUGAAAAUUACGUUAAAAAUACUACUCUUUCUGUUCAACAAUACUUGUCCUCUCUUGACUUUGCACAUUUCUUAAGAAACUAUAAAUAAAAGAGUAAUUUUACUAUAUCACCCUUUGAAUAUACUCCCUUCGUCCACUUUUAAUUGUCAUGGUUUUCUUUUUUAGAGUCAAACUAUAAGAAUGUUGACUAACACUUUAUGAUGAAUUUUUUUUUUAUCAUAUUGAUAUGCCAAAAAUUGCAAUUAAAAGUACUUUUCGUAUAUUUUUUUGUUUAAAAUAUCGAAUUAAUGUAAUCUAAUUUAACUUUGAAAAUUAGUCAGAUUGACUUUCGAAAAGCGCAACAUAACAAUUAAAAGUAGACAGAGGUAGUAAUAAAUACAAUGUCUUGAAAAAUAUAAAAGGAAAUGACUAUAAUUAAUGAUACCGAUAAAUUAGGAACUAAAUGUAAAAUCAUACUUUGAUUUCAUAAAGUGGACAAGUAUUGUUGAACAUCCCAAAAUAGUAUAGUGGACGGCUAUUGUUGGACAUAGAGAAAAUAAAUUACAAUACUUUACAUUUUUAUUUUUAAAAAAAUUAUAUAUAUAUAUUGUUAAAGAGUUAUCGCUUUAGCGGUUUUGAUAAUAAACUUAAUUUUUUUAUAUCACGUUAUCCAUUUUUGACAAGCCAAUCAAUAACUCGAUAGUAAAUUGAUAAAUUAUAUCGCUUUAAUUUGAGUAAAUAAAGUCAGGAUUUAGUUUCAUACUUUCAUUUAUAACUGUCUCAAACUCCUAGCUAUUCUACAAGAUUACAAUAUUUGUUUUGAAUGAGAUGUAAUCUGUAACCUCAUGUUCAUGAUUUAUUUGAUUUGUUACUUGUUUCUAAGUGUUUUACCAUAAUUUUAAAAAUUAUAAUAUUUUAAAGGUUAAAUCAAUAAUCAAAUUAAUUAUGAUCAAAUAAUUGAUAAUUGAUAUCUUAAUAAUUCAAUAACAAUGGAACCGAAAUAAGUCACCUAAUAUAAUGUAAAGGUCAUAAAGAGGAUUUAUUCUUUCUAGAUUAAAUAUUACUUCUCUGUCCACUUUUUAUUAUCAUGUUGUGUUUUUCGAAAGUUAAUUUGACUAAUUUUAAAAAUUAAAUUAGAUUACAUUAAUGUGAUAUUUUAAACAUACAAUUUAGAUAAUCAAAAACUACAAUAUAUCACAUUAGGAUUGCAUAUCGAUCGGUUCGAUUCGGUUAAAAUAUUGGCUUAUCAGUUAUUGAUUUACCAAUUUUUGAUCGUUAUCGGUUUAACUGUUAAGAUUUGACAACAAAAAAAAAUGAAAAUCACUUAGAAACAAGGUGACAAACCAAAUGAACCGUGCACAUGAGUUCAAAAGUUACAUCUUGCUCAAAAACAAACAUUUUUACAUUGUAGAAUAACCAAGUGUUUGAGACAACAAAAAAUAAAAGUAGGAAACGACCCUCUAAGUCAAGGACUUUAUAUACAAAAUGGUAUAAAUAUAAUUAUUUAAUUUACUAUCGAAUUAUCGGUUAACUCAUUAGAAAAAACCUCAAACCGUUAAGAACCGAUAAUCCGAUAAGAAAAAAAAAUCAAAACCGUUAUCAAGACCGCUAAACCAAUAACCCAAUAUGAUAAAUCAAUAACUUUUUUUCGAUUCGAAUUAUCGAUUUCGGUUCGAUUUUGAAUAGCCCUAUAUCACAUCAUAUAUAAAUGGUCUAUUCUCUUUAUUUAUCCACUUUCGUCUUGACCCUUAGUCUUCAUCCAUUUAUUGUUACAGUAUUAUAUAGGGAAUUUUUUAAUUAUUAAGGCAAAUCAAAACGAAUCAAAUUAACGGAAUGGUUUUAGAGAAAACUGGAAGGGGCAAGUUUUUUUAAAAGGAGAAAAAAAAAAUUAGAUCAUAGAGAUGUGCCACAUCACUUUCUAUAUAUCUAACUUUAUAUUAUAUAUAGAUGUAGAUUAAAAGUAAAAAUUCUAAAAGUGUAAUUCAUGGAUAAUUAUUCAUUGUAAAAAUUUAAAUAAUAAAGAGAAAAAUAUUUAAAAUAUGUUAUCAUUUUAUAAUUAAAAUAAGGUUAAAAAAAGAGAGAGAAUAAAUAAGUAAAUAAAUAAAUUUAUUAAGAGUAGAAAUUAGAGGGGCGAGUUAUGAAUAGUUACUUGGCAUGUGAUGAGUCUUUGUUGUAAAUGUUCAUCAAUUAGGAGUAAUAAAAUAUUUAUUUGUAAUAAAUUAAGUAAUUUACUUUUACAAUAAAAUAAUAAAUUUAAAUAAGAAAAAAAGUCAAAAAGGAGAAAAAAAAAUAUAUAAAUGGUGGUCAUAGAAAUGUGUCACAUCACCUAAUCUGUGUUUCUCUUUUAUAUUAUUAUAUAUAUAUAUAUAUAUAUUUUAUUUUAUUUUUCAAUUGAGAAUGUGUGGGAGACUACGACCAUCUCCAACCCACCUCUAUUUUACUCUCCAUACUCUAUAUUUGGAGAGUAAAAUAGAGAAUGGGGACUCCAACCUACCUCCAAAUCACCCUCUAUUCUUCAAAUUUGGAGAACUACUAUUCACACUCUCUAUUUCACUUUUUUAUUAUUUUAUUAUUAUUUCUAUUACUUUCUAAUUAACAUAUUAUUUUACAUAUAAUNNNNNNNNNNNNNNNNNNNNNNNNNUUUUUUUUUUUUUAUAAAUACAAUACAUGAUAUGAUAAUUUAAAUACAAGAUAACAAUACAAUACAUAACAUAAUAAUUUAAAUGCAAGAUAACAAUACAAUAUAAUACAUAAAAUAAUAAAUUAAAUACAAUACAUAACAUAAUAAUUAAUUGAUCACAACAAUUUAGAAAUCCGGUAGGUCGUUUCCAGGUUUAGCACUAUUCGAAAAAAAAUUAGGAUAUGAUUCCGAGAAUUGUUGCGAUUGUGGUUGUGACUACAGUUGUGAUGGUAUACGAUAUGGGUUAUUAUUUAGCUGAUGGUAUAUAUCCUAAUAAAUGGUCUACAAUUGUUCAAACUAUUCGUAAUCCUCAUUCCCAACAAAAAAAAUAUUUCGCGAUGAAACAAGAAUCGUGCCGAAAAGAUGUUGAACGUGCAUUCAGAGUUUUGCAAUUAUUGCAGGACUGUCACGUUUUUGGAGAAAGGAAGUGCUACAUGAUAUAAUGACUACAUGUAUUAUACUGUACAACAUGAUAAUUGAGGAUGAACGUGAUCUCAAUGCACCAAUUCAAGAUGUUGUAGAGGCUCCAACUCCAACUAUAGAAAUGGUGAUAGAUGAAAAUCUCCGGUUUGAACAAUUUUUAGCUAGACAUAAAAAAAUUAAGGACAAAAAUGCUCAUUUUGAACUCCGUAAUGCAUUAAUAGAGCAUUUAUACGAGUAACGUAAUAAUUUUGAAAAUUGAAUGUUUAUGUAAUUGUAUGUCACUUUUAUUUGAAUUUGUCCCCUAAUUUAUGUAUUAUAUUAUAUUUUCUUGCAAUUUAUGUUAUUAAAAUUUAGAAUAAAAAAUAAUUUUAUAUCACAUUAAAAAUUAUAUAAAGUAAUUAUUUGGGAAAAAAGAAAUAAAGGAUUUAUAUUAUGAAAUACGAAAAUAAGAAUGAAAUAGAAAUAAUAAUAUAAUAUUGAGAAGAGAGAAAAGAUUCCUUUUAGAGAAUAAAAUAGAGAAUUGGGUUGGAGUUGGUUGUCUGGAAAAAUAGAGAACUCUAUAUUUGAAGAGUAAAAUAGAGGAUUGGAUUGGAGAUGCCUGAGAGGAUAAAUGGUGGGGACCAGCCAGGAAAAGAAAAGUAACUUCUAAUAUCGAAUAAGGUUAUUUUUUAUUUUAAUUAAACAUCUACAUAACAUAAAUUUAAAUUAAUCAAGCUUUUAUACAAAUAAAUGAGUGCAAAUUAGGAAAAAAGGAAAGAACCUUUCAAACUGAAUCAUAAACAAAUCCUCUUUCCUCAGCCUGUUUAUUUUGGUCAAUGGCACAAAUUAGAAUAAUUUGGCUUUCUUAUUUCUUAUAUAUUAUUGCUUUGCUUGCUUCUAUGUUAUAUUUAUAUAUUAUAUAUAAGAGGAAAUUUUGUCUUCUUAUUUCUUAUAUGUGUACAGUAUAUUUGGGAAUUUAUUAAAUUUGUGGGCCAAUAUAAUUUUUCGUAACGUCUUUUAAUUGUAGUUCCCUCCAUAUUAUAUUUCUUUUCAUUAAUGGCCACGUGGGGUUGAGAAAAAGUCCUAACUAAUUAAAUUUCAACUAUACUAAAUAAGUACAAUACAUUAUUAAUAACUUUAAAUAUUGAUUGAAAAUUUAGUUGACUUUAGAAUUAUUACCUAUGUCAUUUAAAUAAGGAAACAUGGAUAGCAUUAAUUAUUUGAAAUUACGUAAAAUGCAUUAUAAUAAUUAUAAUUUAAAAUAUUUUUAAAAAUACAUUAAAACCACUUUUAAAUUUUCAUGUGUUACAUAAAUUGAAACAAUAAUAUACGUUAUUUAAAAAUAUAAUAAAUUACAAUACUUAACCACUUAAAAUAUUUCAAAAUCAUGCCAAUGUAUCUAAUCUAAUAUAAUACUUAAUGGGAGGAUAUAUAGAUGAGAUUAGUUAUGAUGAGAUAAAUUAUGAUGGGAUAAGUUAUGUUGAAAUUAUUUUUUUAUUGAGUGUUUGAUUUGGUUGUAUUCAAAAUAAUAUGAAUUGCAUAAAAAUGAUUUAUUUGUUUACAAAAAUACUCAUUAUGAAUGUCAAAAUAAUGAUGUACAAAAAGGAUUUAAAGAAAUAUUUUUACCAUGAACUUAUUAAAUCCCAAAAUCCAAGCAGAGACAUAACUUAUCUUGAUACUAAUUAUUAAUCUCAAAAUAAAUUAUCCUAUAUUUACCAACCAAACAAUAAAUUAAGUGAAAUUAUUAUUUAAACAUUUAUAGCUAACGAUAGAGUAAUAUACAUUGACACUGGCCUUUUUCUUGCAUUUGAUAAAAAGCAGGUUGCAUCCACUUCCCCAUCAUUAUUCUGUGUCUGUAGAACCAACAGAUUUUAAUUUUUUCAUCAUAUUUUUUUCCAUUUUAUUUCUCCUUUGAUACUCAAUUCCUCUGAUUACUAAUCUCCAGUAAGUGAGAAGAUGAAGGAAGAGAUGGCAGAGUAUCUUCCAUUAUCUCAAACAGAAGAUUCAGAGAAGCAAACUUCUUCACAUCCUUCUCUGAUUCCAAUUAAAAGUAGAAAAAAGGGUGGAUUAAUUACCAUGCCUUUUAUCAUAGGUACUCGACUAGUUCAAAUAUUUUGGGGAUUUUUUUGUUAUGUUUUGUAAUUAAGUUAAGUUUAUUUUUUGAAUUGUUACAGCAAAUGAGGCACUGGAGAGUGUGGCGAGCUAUGGGCUUUUACCAAAUAUGACAUUUUAUUUGAUGAGAGAUUACAGGAUGGACAUUACUACAACUCAAAAUCUUCUGUUUUUCUGGUCAGCUACUACUAAUUUUUUGCCUAUUGUUGGAGCUGUUGUUGCUGAUUCAUAUUUAGGUCGAUUCCUUACUAUUGGCCUUGGUUCCAUCUUCAGUUUCCUGGUAUAUAACUAAAACUUAUACAUUCCCAUUUCAUCUUCUUCUUCUUCUUCUUCGUUUGGGUCAAUGGUAAUUAACUAAAACUUUUAAAUUAAACUAAUAAAAUUCAAGUUUUUUAAAUCUAUAAGUCAAAUUAAACUAAUAAAAUACAACUAUUUUAGUUGUUUUAUAAAAAGAAAAACAAAAAAUAUGAUAUGAGUGAUAAUACUAAAAUAUUCCACAAAAAAUAAUAAUGAAAUCGCAUAAAACAAAUAUUGUAAAUAAAUAAGUCAUUAUGAAGAUAUGAUAAUUUAAAAAUAUUUAAUCAUGCUAAAAACAAAUCAAAUAAGAAAUAAUUACAUAACAAAAUUUUUUAAAAAUUAAAAUUAGAUUGUAUUAUUAUUAUCUAAACCAAUGUAAAACUAAAAUAAAUAUUCAACAUUAUUGUCAUUCUUAAUGUUGAAUUGAUCUUUUUGUUAGAAGUAUUAUUGAUUUGAAUUUGAUCUGAGUUUUAUUAGAGUUAGUUACUAAUAUCUAUGAACUAUAAAUUUUAUUAGACCAUUCAAAAUUUUAAGUCAAACUUGAAAUAAUAAGUAAAGACAAAAAUUAUGAAAAAGUAUAAAAAAUAUUUAUAAAUUAUUGUAUCAAGUAAAUAUUUUUAUGCAUAAAAGAAAAUUUUAAAAUUAUAUAUAUAAUGUUGGGUUGGUAUAGUCUCGGGUUGACUUUUAUAAGUUAAAAUAAAACUAAUAACCAUAUUUUUCUCAAUACCAGAUCAAAUCAAAUCAAAUCAAAAAAACGCAAUCAAACACCGUAUAAAAUUAAUAUAUGUAUAAUUUUUAUAAAUAUAACAUUUAAAUAUAAAUAUUAUAUAAAAUUAAUACACCAAUAACUUCUAUCCUAUUUAUUAACUAAACAUAAUAUAAAAUUCAUAUAUAAAUGACCAAAUUAUAUACUCCCUCCGUCCCAUUUUAUAUGUCACAACUUUUACUUUUUUACUUUUUUACUUUAAUACUAGUGUUUUUCCCCCUACUUUUCUUAAUUGAAUUUUCACAAUCUUUUAUUUUUUUACUUCAAUUUUGAUUUUUUACUUUUUUAAAAAAAAAUCCCGCUGAAAGUGCUAAUCCUUAUACCGUCUCCAACCACACUUUAAGAGGUUGUUUGGUUUGAAUACAAGUAUGAUGAAAAUAUUUAUGCUGGAUAAAUUAUGCUGGAAUUAAUUAUGUUGAGAGUAAUUUUUAAAACUUAUAUUCAUUGCAUAAUUUCUAAUAAUAAGUUGUUUGUUUACAAAAAUAUCUUCCACCUUAUUUAUUUUUUUUGUACAUUUUACUUGCAAGCUUUAGUUAUUCAUUCUUAAAAUUAAAUUUUUCAUCUUGUUUAGCUUAAUUUUUUUGUGUAUGCAUUUUCAUGAUUGUGACGUGUGUUUUUAAAAUUAAACUUUCAUCUUAUUUAACGUAGAAUAAAACUUACAUCUUAUUUAGCUUAAAAAUGAAUUUUUCAUCUUAUUUAGCUUAAAAAUGAAAUUUUCAUCUUAUUUAGUUUUAAAAUAAAACUUCCAUCUUAUUUAGCUUAAAAUAAAACUUCUAUUUUUAAGUUUAUUAUAGUAAAAUAAAUUUUAUUAUUAAAGUUAUCUACAUUUUUAAUUGAUAUAUAAAAUAUAAUUUUUAAGUGAGUAAUAAACUAUUUAAUCUGAAAAUAUGUAAUUUAAUAUUGGAGUGAACAUUUUAAGAGAAAUCAAAGUAUAAAUAAACAUUAGAAUUAGGCAAAUAAAUCCAACUCAUAAUAUAUUCAUGAAUAAAAACUAUAUUUAUAAAAUGUAAUUUUUAAUUAAAAAUAUACUCUUAUAAAAACAACAAAUAAUUAAGGUUGUGAAUGUUAUUAUAAAUGUUGUUAAAAUUAUGUUAAUAUACAUGAAUGUAAAAGUUAAAAGAGAGUUUAAGAAGCGUAUUUUUGUUAUUUUAUAUACUUUAUCCCUAGAUAAGUUAUCCUAGGAUUACUAUUUCACCUCCUUGCAGGGAUAACUUAUCCAAGUACCAAUUGUUAAUCCUGGGAUAAGUUAUCCCAUCCUUUACAACCAAACGGUGAAUUAAAGGGCACUCAAAAAUUAUCCUGGGAUUAACACCUCUUAUCCAUCACACCAAACGACCCCUUAGUGUACACUUUGAGUUUGCUAGUUCAGAUCUCACUUUAUGUGUUUUAGUGUGAACAUUUAAUUAUAUGAUCCUUAUUUAGGAAUAUAUGUAUAUAUACAGAUAAAUUAUUUUGAAGUUAAAGGGUGCACAUACACCCACUACCUUAAAAGUGGUACACGCCUUUGAAUUGGUAUAUACUUGUUAUUUAAGCUAUUUUUUGCCAGGGCACAUGCAAAAAAAUAGGUUCAGUUGGACCUCUUAAUUAAACGGUAUAUCUGGCUAUGCCCAUAAGAGAGUUUUGGGCGAAAAUACUCAACUCUUAAGCUACAUUCUUUCCCUAUCAUAAUAAACAUAAAGCAUCCCUAAACUAUACAAAAACUUGCAAGUUACGUCCCUCCGUUAGUUUUAUGUUAAGAAAUAAUGGCUUCAACCAAAAGCGCAUGACUAUCCCUCACCAAACGACUGCCAUUUGGACUCUAACGCUAAAAAGAUUCAGCAAAUCUUAAUAUCAAAUCAAUCCAUUGUUGUUCAGUUGUAGAAAUAAAAAAAUUAAUACAAUAAUAUUCUUACCAAAAAUUGAUAAAGGAUAUCUAUAUGUUUGUUAUUUUCAACAUGUAAGCAAUUGAUUUAUUAGUAAACUUUUAAAUUGUUUUAUGGAUUCCAAAUGAGUAACUAUUAACUAUAUAUAAAAGUCUUCAAGUUAUAAAGGUAAAAGAUGAAUUAUGUAUCUCAUUUAUACACGAUAUUAACUAUUAAUUAUAAAAAUCUUCACAGUAUAAGAGUAAGAUUAUGUACACAUCACUCUUCUCAUACCCACUUAUAGAAUUACACUGAAUAUAUUGUUAUUGUUAUUAAAAAAAAAAAAAACAAAUUAUGCAUCUCAUUUAUAUACAAUAUUAUAUUUACUUUAUCUAAACAUUAAAAUUGGGAUAACAUAGUUCAAGGAUGUUAUUUAUUCAUUGUUAUAAUAUGAGGAUGUAGAUUUACUCCCCAUAAGACAAGAGGAUUGUAGUUAAGCUACACUUGAAUGCCCUGUUGUUGCAGGGAACAGUAGUGUUGUGGUUAACAGCAAUGAUUCCGAAAGCAAGGCCUCCACCUUGCAAUCAAUCAGGACAUGAGGCUUGUAAAUCGACAACGACAUCACAAUACAUGCUCUUGGUUUUCUCGUUUCUGCUCAUGUCAAUUGGUGCUGGAGGUAUAAGACCGUGUUCUUUAGCCUUCGGUGCUAACCAGUUUGACAAGGGAGGUAGUAAUCCCAACAAGCAUACGGUGUUGGAGAGCUUCUUUGCCUGGUAUUAUACUUCAUCCAUAGUCUCUGUUCUGAUUGCCCUGACAGGUAUCGUUUACCUUCAAGACAGACUCGGGUGGAAAAUAGGUUUUGGAGUUCCUGCAAUCCUCAUGUUCUUAUCCGCGUUAUUUUUCUUCCUUGCUUCCCCGUUUUAUAUCAAGCAAAAGGUUCUCUCAAACGUGUUUGCCAGCUUUAUACGAGUAAUUGUGGUUGCCUUCAAGAAUAGGAAACUACAUUACCCCAAUCAGAACUCUGAUUAUCAUCACAAGAAUGGUUCAGGACCUCAAGUGCCAACGGAUAAAUUGAGAUUCUUAAACAAAGCUUGCGUCAUUAAAAGCCCUGAAGAUGUUAAGCCAAACGGAGUUGCAGCCAAUCCAUGGAACCUUUGCACAGUGGAGCAAGUUGAGGAGCUAAAAGCCCUCAUUAGAGUCGUGCCAUUGUGGUCAACAGGGAUCAUGAUAUCAAUAAACUUGAGCCAAAGUUCAUUCCCACUACUUCAAGCUCAAUCCAUGAAUAGACAUCUAACUAAAGGAUUCCAAAUACCAGCAGGGUCAUUCGGGAUGUUUUUGAUGAUUGCAUUAACAAUUUGGGUAUUACUGUAUGACCGCGUGAUGCUUCCAUUGGCAUCAAAGAUCAAAGGAAGACCAGUUCGUCUAAAACCUAUAGUCAGAAUGGGACUUGGUAUAUUCGUGUCUUGCAUGUCCAUGGUAGUCUCUGGUAUUAUCGAAAAUAUUCGACGAAGAAGAGCAAUCAGUGAAGGGCUGUUGAACAACUCGCAGGGGUUGGUGGAGAUGUCAGCAUUCUGGCUCAUUAUACCAAACAGUUUAAACGGUAUAGCAAAGGCAUUGAACGCGAUUGGCGCCACAGAGUUCUAUUAUUCAGAGCUCCCAAGGAGUUUGUCAAGUAUUGCAUCUGCUCUUUUAGGACUGGGAAUGGCAGUGGCAAGUCUUUUAGCAAGUGUGAUUUUGAGUGCUGUGGACAAGUACACCAAAGGAGAAGGGACAGAAAGUUGGGUUUCAAGCAAUAUCAACAAGGGACACUAUGAGUAUUACUACUGGCUUCUUGCUGUAUUGACAGCUUUCAAUCUGAUUUAUUUUGUGGCUUGUUGCUCCCAAUAUGGACCCUCUGUUGACGUUGACAUCACUAAGAAAAUGAUGGAGCUUAGUGAUGAUGAUGAUUGAUGAGUUUUGCCUAAUUCGUUCACCAUAGGCAGAUUCUGUGGAACAGAAAUAUGUUUAUUCAAAAUCAUAUGUUGGCAGUGAGAAUUUUGUUUUUCUUUCAAUAAGAUAAUUCCGAGGAAAAAAGUCUAAUGCGAUGGGAAUUUCAGAGAGCAGUUUAUAUUAUAGAUGGAUAAACAACAACCUCCAACAGAACAGCUUCAAAACUUGUAUCCACUUAUUCACAUGAAAAGAUUCAAAAGGGGAAUGAGGCAAGAAUAUGCCUUCUGAAAAGUUUCCAUAAUCUCUUGUAAACGAUGAUAUUGUAUUGGCAGAUGAUAGUUAGAAAAUCGAUUGGUAUUGAAAGAAGUAUCAAUGAACAUAUCUAUCAGCUAGCUCUAACUUUUAUAAGGACAGCAGAAUAGGAGAGUGUGUAGCAUCCUGCUCCAACAGAGUAUGCUGUGUGAGAUAUUCAGCAAACAGAACAGAUGGUACUCCAAGAAUGCAGAAUAGUUGUCAUAGAUGCAAAUAUCCAUCAACCUCCAUUAAGACAUUAAUAAGAACUAGAACGCAAAUGGAAAAUGUCUAAGCUAAUACAAAGAGCAAUGGAGCUUAAUAAAGUACACAUUAGAAUUUGAAAAUGCAUUCUAUUUCCCUUUCUGUGUUUCUGAAUCAUUUAACAGUCAGAAUUAGUUAUUCCAUAAAUGAUUACAAGUCUUUAGCACCCUCCAUCCCCCCACCCUACAACAACAACUAUGCUUUAAUGCUACGAAAGUUGGUGUCGGCUUAUAUGAAUCCUCACACUACGUUGUUCCAUUUUUAAAAAAUCAUGUUAGAGCAAAUAUCAUACAAAAUAAAACUAGAAGUUCCUACAUUUCUACUGGCACAGAAACAAAAAGGCAAUAUUCCCUUCCCCUAACCCAACCCCAUAAAAAUAAUACAAUAAACACAAAACUCAAUUGCCAAGAGCAAAAUCUUCGUUAUUGAUAAGCUAAAUGUCAUACGAGAUUGCUUGAAUUCCAUACAGCGAGUUGACAAAAUUCAAAUUGCAACCAUUUCUCAAUUUCAACAACGCCGAAUGACGCACAUGAAAAAUUAAUUAGGGAAAAGAGUCAAAAAUACUCCUCAAUUUUAUUUUAUUGGUUGACUAUGCUCUUACGGUUAAAAUAAAGUUAUUUUUAACCCUAUAGGAAAAUGCAUGCCUUUCACAAUUGUUUAAUGGGAAAGGGGUCAAAAAUACCCCUCAACUUUGGUUUAUUGUUUGACUACGCCCUCGCCGUUAAAAUGAAGUUAUUUUUACCCUUGCCGUUACUAAUUUCACCAUUUUUACCCCUCAAUUGGAUGGAAAACCCCAAUCAACUAAAAUUACCCAAUUUCAAUUAAAUAACCCGAUUUUCCGUUUUAAUCCGAUCCCGAUCCAUUUAUAUAAAUUAAAAUCCUAAACCAAUCUCUCUAAUCUUCUCCGUCUCCUUCCUCCGUUGAAACACAUGCUACUAAAAUUGACAACAAAUGUUUUGUAGUUAAACUCAUGCAUAUUUGUCUUUCCUAAUAAAAUUGCACCACUAUUUCGUAAUCUUGACAUAGGAACCUCAUCUGCCUUCACCUGGCGAACCUCAUGAAACCAUUUAGAACCACCUGCACUUUUUUACAAGGAAAAAUGUUCAGCUAAAAAUGGCAGAGAUAUCUACAGAGGAAAUAUGAAGUUAAACAAAUACGAUGAAAAUAGCAAUCAAUCCUUGUCUGAAAUUGAAAAUCCCAUCCAAGAUUGACAGUGAAUUUCAUCCAUGACCACAAUCAAUAGAGGAAGGAGAUGAAAAAGAUUAGAGAGAUUUAGCACACUAGUGCGGUCAGAGCUUAGAGCUCAUUCAAUCAUUGGAUUUUGCUUUCCUCCGGGCAGAUCUGAAACUAUGAUAUUGCUUGCUUGUUGAGCCUAGCCAGAUAUGAGGUUGUGGCUGUUGUUUUUGACCCUUGAUGCUCGCCUGAUUGUGUUGUUGGUUUGAUCUGUUAGCGGUGCUUCAGUUGUUUUUUCCGAUGGGGUUUUGGUCGGGGUUUUGUUGGUUGGUUGUUUGGGGGUCAGAGAACUGGUGGUCUGGUGGUCAUUUGCUGGUUGUUUUAGCUUAGGUGAUGGAGGUCUGGGUUCUGGUGGGCUGAAGUGUGGUGUUACCAUCGGUUUUUGGCGUGGAGAGGGUGGUGUUUGAGAGAUGUUUCAGGCCGGUUUCGCGGUUGUUUGAAUGAUUCCGGCGGUGGGUGGUUUGUUUAAUGUUGUUCCAGCUUGGAACUGGUCGGAAAUGAAGAAGAAAGGUCAUGCUGUGGUCACCGAAAAGUAGAGGAAAAUGGGUUUGUUGUUGACGUUUUCUGCUUGGUGUCGUUUAUGGUUUUUAGGGUUUUUAGUGGUGAUUUGAGGUGGUCGUUUGGAGGUUGUUUCGGUGGUGUUUCGCCGGAUAAAAGAGAAAAUGAAUGGGGUUUUUGGGUUGCCGGAGCUUGAUUUGGGGUUUUAAUUUUGUAUAAAUGGGUCGGGUUCAGAUGAAAAAGAGAAAAUGGGGUCAUUUAAUUGAAAUUGGGUAAUUUUAGUUGAUUUGGGUUUUUCAUCCAAUUGAGGAAUAAAAAUGGUGAAAUUAGUAAGGGCAGGAGUAAAAAUAACUUUAUUUUAACAGCAAGGGCAUAGUCAACCAAUAAAAUAGAAUUAAGAGAUAUUUUUAACCCUUUUCCCAAUUAAUAAUUCCAUUUUAAUUGGGUUAUCGCAUAUAAAAACACAGAGAAUGAGAAUGAGAAUAAUUGAAAUUGACUAUGUUCGAUGAAGAACAGAAUAAUAUUCACUUACCAGAAGAGAAAAGCCGAAAGCUGGGGUUUAUAGGAGAAGAAAAACAAUUGAAGCCGAAGUGGUUGAGUAACUUAAACGAGUUCAUGUUUUCAACGAGCUAAGCUAAGCUAAGCGCAUCUAUUUUACCUUCUAAAAACAAAUUUUUUUCUCUCUCUUCGAUAUUAUAUUAAUAUUUCUAUUUCAUUUUUGUUUUCUUAUUUCAUAAUAUAAAUCUUUUCUUUUCUUUUUCAAAUAAUCAUCCUAUAUAAUUUUCAUGUAAUAUAAAAUUAUAAUUUUUUGAAAUUUUUAUUUAAUAUUAAAUAAUAUUUUAUUCUAAAUUUCUAAAGAACAACUAUGAAUAAUUGAAAAAAGAAAUCAACAAGCACAACCGCAAUCACAACCACUACUUCUCUAAAUCAUACACUAAUUCCUUUUUCGAAUAUCGUUAAAUCUAGAAACGACCUACCGGAUUACUAAUUUAUUGUUGUGAUUUUUAAAAUUAUUAUGUUAUGUAUUGUAUUUUAAAAUUAAAUUUUUUAUCUUAUCAUUUAAAUUUUGUGCAUUCUUCAUAGUGAAAAUUAAUAAUAACAUCAAAUUGUAUCACAAAGUGACGAAAAUUAAAGAAAAAAUAUUUAAAAUAUUAUUAAUUAGAGAUGAAAGUAGCAUAUAUAUAUUGAAAUAUUUUUAAAAAUGUUAUAUUACAUUUAAAAGGAAUUGCGAAUGUUAGAGAUUUAAUUAAUAAUCUUAUAUGACAAAUAAUAUGUUAAUUACAAAUAGUAGAAAUAAUAAUAUAAUAUUUAAAAGGUGAAAUAGAGAGUGGUUGAGGGCAUCUCCAACCCUAUCCUCUAUUUACUCUCCAAAUAUAGAGUUUUCUAUUUUUUCAGACAACCAACUCCAAUCCAAUUCUCUAUUUUACUCUCUUUAAAAUAAUCUUAUUACCUUUCCUCAAUAUUAUAUUAUUAUUUUUAUUUCAUUCUUAUUUUCUUAUUUCAUAAUAUAAAUCAUUUCUUCUUUUUGCACAUAAUCACUCUAUAAUCUUUAUGUAAUACAAAAUUAAUUUUUUUUUUCACAUUCUUCAUUUAAUAUAAAAUUAUAUUUUAUUCUAAAUUUCUAAAUAACAUAAAUUGCAAUAAAUAUUAUAUAUAAUACAUAUUAAGGAACAAUUCAAAUAAAAGUGAAAUCACUGAUGAAAUAUAAUUGCAUCAUAAAUAUUGUAUUAUCAUAAAAUUUAUUUUAAAUUUUACAUAAAUACUCAAUUUUCAAGAUUAUUGCGUUAGUCUCAUAAAUGUUCUUUUAAUGUAUUACGGAGUUCAAAAUGAGCAUUUUUUGUCCUUAUUUUUAUAUGUGUAGAUAAAAAUUGUUUAAAUUAACAAUUUCAUCUUGUAUUCAAUUAUUCAUGUACUAAUUUACUUCCCCUAUUCCAAUUUGAACUAUUGCAUCAAAUAUUUUCAUGCUUUUUAAAAAGUGUAGUUUAAUAAUUUAUCACUAUAACAUAAAAGUCGAUUGUUUGAAUUAUCAUGUAAAUUUUGUGCAUAUUUCAUAAUGAAAAAUAAUUAUAAUCUAAAUUACAUUUUUAAAAUGAGAAAAAAAUUAAAUUAGAAAAAUUGUUAAUUCAGGAUAGAAGUAGUAUACUUAUCAAUAAUAUGUUUUAGAUGUUAUAUUACUUAGAAAAUAAUUACAAAUAUUAGAGACUUAAUUAAUAAUCUUAUAUAAUAUAAAUAAUAUUAAAAUAACUUUAAAUUACAUAUUUAAAGUGACCAUUUUCUUUUAAAAAAUAAAAUAGAAAAAUUAUUAAUUUGCGAAAAUAGUAACUUAUUAAUAAUAUAUUUUUAAAUGUUAUAUUACAUUAGAAAAUAAUUACAAAUGAUAAAGACUCAAUUAAUAAUAUAAUAGAAAUAAUAUUAUAAUAAUCAAAAAGUAAAAUAGAGAGGUGAAUAAUAGUUCUCCAAAUUAUUCACCUCUCUAUAAUUGAAGAAUAGAGAGUGAAAUAGAGAUGGGUUGGAGAACUCAUUCUCUGUUUUACUCUCCAAAUAUAGACAAUGAAGAUUAAAAUAGAUUAGGAUUGGAGAUGGUCUAAGGCUCUAAGCUAAAAACGUGAACAAUUAUUAUUUUUUAUUUUCAUUAAUAGCCACGUGGGGUUAAGAAAAGGUCCUAAUUAAUAUGCUUUCAAUUAUACUCUCUCUAUUUCAAAAUGCGCGAAUUAUUGAUUUUUUUUAUAAUUAAAAAUAAGUGAAUUGUUCAAAGUUCAAAAGAAAUGUUGGAUUUUUUUAUUUAUUUUCUCCCCUCAUUUAUAUCUUUCAAGAUACUUCCUUCGGUUCAUUUUCAUUUCAUAAAAUCAAUGCAUAAAUUAUCAUAUUGUUCAUUUUUUAUCCUUGUGAGUUAUUAGCCUUGAAAAUAUAUAUUUGACCAACUUAGAAAAGCUAAGUAAAUGAUUCAUGUUCAUUGGUUAAAUUAAUUAAUCAAAAUAAUUAAUUCAUAUUCAUUGAUUGAAAACUUGAGUUCCAAAAAAAUUAAAUAAGGGUAGAAGAGUAAAGUUACAUCAUUUUUUAAUGCAAAUGCAAUGUAAAAAGGUGACAUAUAAAAUUGGACGGAGAGAGUAGUAAAUUGCUCAUAUUUAUGAUUUUAAUUUUAUUCUCAAAAAUAGUUUGAAAAUAACUAAAAAGCAAAAGUGGGAAAUAGUGUUCAAUUUAUGUCCUAAUUAUUUUCCUUAAUGAACGUGCAUUACCUUAACAAUUUAUUUCUUUUGAAAUGAAAGGAGUAAUAAAUAGUACUAUAAAUUAUAAAGUAAUAAUUAAUAACUUUACAUAUUGAUGGAAAAUUUGAUUAACUUUUGAAAUUUCACCUAUGACAUUUAAAUCAAGACAGGACAUAGGAAUAACAUAUAUUAUUUAAAAUUUGAAAAUUAUGUAAAAUGUAUUAUAAAUCAGAAUAAUUAAUGUUUUAAAAUAUUUUCAAAAAUAUAUUAGAACUUUGGUCAACUCUCUAAUUUUCAAACGUAUCACGUAAAUUGAUACAGUAACAUAUUAUUUUAAAAUUACGUUAAAAAGUACUUGGAGUAGUUCAAGUAUUUUGGAUUUUUUUAUUUAUUUGUAAUUAAGUUUAUUUUUGAAUUGUUUCAGCAAAUGAGGCACUGGAGAAUGUGGCGAGCUAUGGGCCUUUAAACAUACAUAAUGCUGCAAUUUAAGAGUUUCUUUUUGGAAAACCAUAUAAAUAGGUCAUAGAAUUCAAAAUAAUUACAUAUUCAUAUCCAAAUCCAAAUUGAAAGUAAUUCAAGAAAUACUUACUCUCUCAUAAAUAAUUGCAGCUCAAACCCCUUUCACUAAGACUGAGAAGUUUCGCUUAACUGAUAUUAAAUUAGUAUCAUAUACUGCAUUGAUAUCAUUAAUGUUGAUAAUUUAUAUAUAUAUAUAUAUAUACUAUAUUGGUAUCAUUAAAGUUUUUUGUUUAGAAGUCAAUGAUACUUUAAGAGUAUAUGCAUAUUGUUGUGGUAUCAUUGAGGUUUCUUGUUCAGAUGUUACUCAUUGGUCAAUGAUAUUAUAAGAGUAUAUAUAUUUAUGGUAUCACUAAGGUUUCUUGUUCAGAAAUUGCUCAUUAGUCAAUGAUAAUAUAAGAGUAUGUAUAUGAUUGACGAUUACCAACUUUAAUGAUACCAAUACAAUAUCUGAUAUAGUAUCAGUUAAGCGAAAUUAGUUUAAGGUAUAUAAUAUAAUUAUUUACAACAACAACAACAUACCCAGUGAAAUCCCACAAAGUGGGGUCUGGGAAAUAUAAUAUAAUUAUUUAGUGAGGUAUAAAUGUAAAGGGGUAUAUGUUUGUACUCUCUCUGUUUAAAAAAGAAUGACUUAGUUUGACUUGGAAAAGAGUUUAAUAAAAGAAAGAAGACUUUUUAAUCUUGUGGUUCUAAAAUAAAGUUAUGUCAAAUCACAAAUGUACCAAAAUGUCAUUUGAUCUUGUGACCUUAAACAUGUCAAGUGGAAAGUUAAAAUUAAAGUGUUGACAAAAAAGGAAAUAGGUCAUUCUUUUUUAAACAAACUAAAAAUGAAACAAGGCCAUUUUUUUUUAAAACAGAGGAAGUAAUUAUAUAAUAUAAUUAUUUACAACAACAACAACAUACCCAGUGAAAUCCCACAAAGUGGAGUCUGGGGAAUAUAAUAUAAUUAUUUAGUGAGGUAUAAAUGUAAAGGGGUAUAUGUUUGUACUCUCUCUGUUUAAAAAAGAAUGACUUAGUUUGACUUGGAAAAGAGUUUAAGAAAAGAAAGAAGACUUUUUAAUCUUGUGGUUCUAAAAUAAAGUUAUGUCAAAUCACAAAUGUACCAAAAUGUCAUUUGAUCUUGUGACCUUAAACAUGUCAAGUGGAAAGUUAAAAUUAAAGUGUUGACAAAAAAGGAAAUAGGUCAUUCUUUUUUAAACAAACUAAAAAUGAAACAAGGCCAUUUUUUUUUAAAACAGAGGAAGUAAUUAUUUUACUUUUAUGGGAUAUUUGUUUAGUUUCCCUUUUUUUUUUAACAUAUUAAAAAAUGAAAAGAGUACUUUCGCACACAAAAUUUAUGAUAAAAAGGGAAAAAGUAGUAUAAACAUAUUGUAUCAUGAAUUUUAUUUUAGACUUCUACAAUUUUCUGAAGAAAUUCACACUUAAGCAAGUAGCUUCUUAAAUCAGUUUUUUAAAAUUUACAAGUAGCUCAAACAAAAGAUUGCAAGCAAUUUUUUCAAGCUUGCAAUCAAAUUGAUAACUUAUGAGUAGAUCAAAUAAAAUCUUAAAUAACCUUUGAAAAGACUUCAUUAACUUCUUAAAAACCUCAUUUUUUUUUCUUUUCUUUUAUGAAGUUUCGAAAUAAAUAAUAUCAAUUUAUUAUAAGUUGAGAAGAAAGAUAAAUAGUGGGACCACCAACAAGGAAAAGAAAUGCAACCUUUCACACACAAUGACCAUCAAAGGAUGUGUUGAUUUUUUAAUUGGAGAUCUCAAGUUUAAAUUUUAUGCUGAUAGUAUUAAAAUUUAAAAAGCAUACGAAUAUAAAUGAGGAAAAAAUCCAAAAAAAAGAAGAAGAAGAAAACCUUUCACGCGGAAAUCGGAAUCACAAGCAAAAUCCUCUUUCCGCAGUCUGUCUAUUGUGGUCAAUGGUAUAUAUAUAUAUAAUAUUUUAUUUAUUUUAAAAUAAAUUGAUAUUUUUUUAUUUUUUAAUUAAAAGAUAUUAAAAUUAAAAUGAUAAAAAUAUUUUAAAAAAUAAAAUAAUAUAGAUAAAAUAUUAUUCUAGCCAAAUUCUGGCUAAUUUUUUUUUUUCCCUAUAUAUAAAAUGGGAAGAGAUAGAAAUAUGUGAUGGUGAGUCAUGCUUUUUUCUUGCAUUUACUAAUCAGCAGCUGCUCAGCCUCGAUUUUUUCGGCUUUUAUUUUUCAACUUUGAAUUUGCGUUUCUCAUAGUUUUACUUCUCCAUUCAUCCGCAAUUCCUCUGAUUAAUAACCUCUAGUAAGUGAGGAGAUGGAGCAAGAAAUGGCAGAGUUUCUUCCUCUAAACCGAGGAUCUAAAAUGGAGGAUUCAGAGAGGCAAACUUUUUCUCUGAUUCCAAUUAAAAGUAGAAAGAAGGGUGGACUAAUUACCAUGCCUUUUAUCAUAGGUACUGGAGUAGUUUCAAAUAUUUUGGGGAUCUUUUUUGUUAUGUUUUAUAAUUAAUUAAGCUAAUUUUGAAUCAUUUCAGCAAAUGAGGCACUGGAGAAUGUGGCGAGCUAUGGGCUUUUACCAAACAUGACAUUUUAUUUGAUGAGAGAAUACAGGAUGGACAUUACUACAACCCAAAAUCUUCUGUUUUUCUGGUCAGCUACUACUAAUUUUUUGCCUAUUGUUGGAGCUGUUGUUGCUGAUUCAUACCUAGGUCGAUUCCUUACUAUUGGCCUUGGUUCCAUCUUCAGUUUCCUGGUAUAUAACUUUUAACUUAAAACUAAUAUGUUGCUAAUUAGUGUUUUAUAGUUUCCGAUCUUCUUCUUCUCGUUCGGGUCGAGGUCACCAAUUUCUUGUCUUUGUCUGUGUGAUCUGUAUGAUAGGUCACUGUAAAAGCUUGCGCGAUAGUAAAUAUUUGUUGUAAUUUUUGGGAUAUUUUGCGAGUGUGCACCCGAAAAAUAGGUUCAGUUGGACCUGUUAACUAUACAGUAUAUGUGUCUAUUCCCAUAAAACAAGAGGAUUGUAGUUAACUCACCUACUUUUAACACUUCAAUGCCCUCUUGUUGCAGGGAACAGUAGUGCUGUGGUUAACAGCAAUGAUUCCGAAAGCAAGGCCUCCGCCUUGCGAUCAAUCAGGACAGGCUUGUAAAUCGACAACGACAUCACAAUACAUGCUCUUGGUUUUCUCGUUUCUGCUCAUGUCAAUUGGUGCUGGAGGUAUAAGACCGUGUUCUUUAGCCUUCGGUGCUAACCAGUUUGACAAGGGAGGUAGUAAUCCCAACAAGCAUACGGUGUUGGAGAGCUUCUUUGCCUGGUAUUAUACUUCAUCCAUAGUCUCUGUUCUGAUUGCCCUGACAGGUAUCGUUUACCUUCAAGACAGACUGGGGUGGAAAAUAGGUUUUGGAGUUCCUGCAAUCCUAAUGUUCUUAUCCGCGCUGUUUUUCUUCCUUGCUUCUCCGUUUUAUAUCAAGCCAAAGGUUUGCUCAAACGUGUUUGCCAGCUUUAUACAAGUACUUGUCGUUGC
rnacentral:lncRNA from 1 species